ACUUGUACUGAUUGAGAUUUUAACACGAAGUGAGUGGCGAACGGGUGAGUAACACGUGGGUAACCUGCCCAGAAGUAGGGGAUAACACCUGGAAACAGAUGCUAAUACCGUAUAACAGAGAAAACCGCAUGGUUUUCUUUUAAAAGAUGGCUCUGCUAUCACUUCUGGAUGGACCCGCGGCGUAUUAGCUAGUUGGUGAGGUAAAGGCUCACCAAGGCAGUGAUACGUAGCCGACCUGAGAGGGUAAUCGGCCACAUUGGGACUGAGACACGGCCCAGACUCCUACGGGAGGCAGCAGUAGGGAAUCUUCCACAAUGGACGCAAGUCUGAUGGAGCAACGCCGCGUGAGUGAAGAAGGGUUUCGGCUCGUAAAGCUCUGUUGUUAAAGAAGAACGUGGGUAAGAGUAACUGUUUACCCAGUGACGGUAUUUAACCAGAAAGCCACGGCUAACUACGUGCCAGCAGCCGCGGUAAUACGUAGGUGGCAAGCGUUAUCCGGAUUUAUUGGGCGUAAAGCGAGCGCAGGCGGUCUUUUAAGUCUAAUGUGAAAGCCUUCGGCUCAACCGAAGAAGUGCAUUGGAAACUGGGAGACUUGAGUGCAGAAGAGGACAGUGGAACUCCAUGUGUAGCGGUGAAAUGCGUAGAUAUAUGGAAGAACACCAGUGGCGAAGGCGGCUGUCUGGUCUGCAACUGACGCUGAGGCUCGAAAGCAUGGGUAGCGAACAGGAUUAGAUACCCUGGUAGUCCAUGCCGUAAACGAUGAUUACUAAGUGUUGGAGGGUUUCCGCCCUUCAGUGCUGCAGCUAACGCAUUAAGUAAUCCGCCUGGGGAGUACGACCGCAAGGUUGAAACUCAAAAGAAUUGACGGGGGCCCGCACAAGCGGUGGAGCAUGUGGUUUAAUUCGAAGCUACGCGAAGAACCUUACCAGGUCUUGACAUCUUCUGACAGUCUAAGAGAUUAGAGGUUCCCUUCGGGGACAGAAUGACAGGUGGUGCAUGGUUGUCGUCAGCUCGUGUCGUGAGAUGUUGGGUUAAGUCCCGCAACGAGCGCAACCCUUAUUACUAGUUGCCAGCAUUAAGUUGGGCACUCUAGUGAGACUGCCGGUGACAAACCGGAGGAAGGUGGGGACGACGUCAAAUCAUCAUGCCCCUUAUGACCUGGGCUACACACGUGCUACAAUGGAUGGUACAACGAGUCGCGAGACCGCGAGGUUAAGCUAAUCUCUUAAAACCAUUCUCAGUUCGGACUGUAGGCUGCAACUCGCCUACACGAAGUCGGAAUCGCUAGUAAUCGCGGAUCAGCAUGCCGCGGUGAAUACGUUCCCGGGCCUUGUACACACCGCCCGUCACACCAUGAGAGUUUGUAAC
rnacentral:rRNA from 1 species